rnacentral:lncRNA from 1 species
AGAGAGCUGUUCUUUUUCUUCACAAAUAACACCAGGGCACCCCAUGGAGAAUGAUUGGGGCGGACAAAUUUUUUACCAAUAAGUUCAGAAAUCUAGGUUUCCAAUUCUGCGAGCUCAAUACGACUCAUGCAAUAGGCAAGUUUAAGAUAGGUUGUGUUCCAGGAAGCAGUUCAAUAGAAAACUCUAUCUCCCACAGGGGAGGCAGACGAGGUAGAUC